GAAGUUAGGCAUGGUUCGCACGUUUUUUCGAACUCCAUUUUCAAGAUUUUUUUCCGACUAAACUGUGAAAUGCGCCAUGGAUUGAGCUACACCAAUAAAAUCUCUUGUCUUUUAGGUUUCUAUACGUAUCUAAUUCACUGUCGCAAAAUUUAUGGUUUUUCCUAGACAGGAAAAUGAAAAAUGUAUGACAAAUUGUGCGAACCUUGCCUGUGAAGGCAAGGUUCAAUCUAUGGGUGGUAUAGGUUCGUCAUUGCAGUUUUUCCUGGAAUAGCUUUUCCUCACAAUCAAAAAUUAUUUAUCGAUUGUUAGAUUUAAGACCCAUGAAUCCGCGAAAACCAUCACUUCACUAAAAGAAUGUUCCUAAAACACAUUUUUCGUCAUUUAUCUGAAGCACUGUUUUUCUUGAAAUUGAAUGAUGACAAAUCGACUGAAAUGUGAAAAUUUCAAAUGUGACAACCCUAAAAUUUAUCAGCUGUCAAUUUGUCAUAAAAAGUAAACAAACGAGCUUUUUGUUUUGUCUUAGUAAAAACAGCAUUUUUCUCAUUAUUCAUUAGAAUUUAAAGUAAAUAAUUUAAUAUUUUAUCUUUUGUUAAUCUGUUUCUUGCGUUCAUCAAAGAAGGUUGAAAAGUUUCAGUACUUUUAAGUGUGUUCAAGGAAAAAACCGUGAUUAAUUAGGUGUUGGAAAGUCGAGGAAGACAUCCAGUAAAGACUGCAGAAAGCCAAGAAACUCGAGUAACCCGAAAGGCAGGAACUGGACCAGUGGUUGUGAAUGACGAGGGCAAGGACAUUAAUCCUCAUCCCAUAGUACAUCCCAACAUCGUACUAUUGCUCAGCUGGUCCACGCUCAGUCAGAGCUCAGUCAGCUCCCGUAGAAGGAAAAAGAGACACUGUACACAUAGAUCGAUGGUACAAUAGGGGACAGCAAAGUGGUCACAAAGUACCGAAAGAGAGUGACUGACUCAAAAAGGACUGUAUGGUGCAUCCGAAGAAGAAUUGAGGAAAGUUCAUUGUAGCCAAAAUUGCUCACGAUUACUUCAUUGAUUACGAUGGGAAGCAUGGAUGGAAUUGAUACAAUCCAGCGUAGCACAGAGAAAUUGAGAAAGUAUCAGGAGAUGAAUACUGCCUAUGAAGCCCUGAAAGCAGCCAAGCUCAGAGACAAUCUCGAUGCUGAGCUCUUAGAUGAUGAGGAGGAUGAGGGCAGAUUAUACAUAUUUUAUGAUGUGGUCAGGCCAGGCUCUAAAAUGGACACCAUAAACAGAGAAUAACAGAAUCCGGACUAAUGUAAAAGAUUUUUUAGCCUACUACGAUACCACAAAAUAUAUAAAAUAAAGAAUAUUUCUUUUAA